AUCGAGAAGGGAAGUCGACAGAGAAACGCGGAAUCAAGUGUUGUUGCAAUUAAAACUUUUUUACGUUAUACACAAGAGAUAUACAUGCCGAAAAUCGUGAACGGCAAAUCCUCGACGGGAUUUCCCGCAAAGCAGGUCGCAAAGUUCUUGACGGUGGGCAUUCAUGUUCGUAGUUAUAAGUUUGCAAGGAUGAAAUUUGCAUACUUUAAAUUCACGAAAUAAUCGUAUCGCGCGCGCUGAAAUGUAAGUAAGUAGUACAUAAUAAGCAAAGGAUUUGCAUAUAUAAUGCUGAUUUGCUUAUAUAAUAGAUUGCUGAAUAUCCUAUCUUAAAAAAAAAAA